UAGGUGCGGUUGAAGAUUCCUUCACUACC
rnacentral:piRNA from 1 species